GAUAAACGCUGGCGGCGUACCUAAUACAUGCAAGUCGAACGGACAGAAUCGAAAUUUUUUCCUCUUGCUUUGGCUAGUGGCGGAUUGGUGAGUAAUGGGUAAGCUACCUGUCUAACAGGGGGGACUUACAGAAAGCAAACCUAAUUACGACCACUUAUUUCAUCCAUAUGACUCGAUAAUAGAGGACAACUUUCCAUUCGCUAAUAGAUGGCCUCGCGCCGCAUUAGCUAGUUGGUGAGGUAACGGCUUACCAAGUCGACGAUCCGUAGCCGAACUGAGAGGGCGAUCGGCCACACGGGAAAUGAGUUGAGGGCCAGACUCGGGAGGGAGGCACCAGCAGGGAAUCUUCCGCAAGGAGCGAAAGCGUAACGGAGGAACUCGGCGUGAGUGAUGAAGGUCUUCGGAGCGUAAAACUCUGUUAUUAGGGAAGUACAAAUGUUUAAGGAACUAGGAGCGAAAUGACGGUACCUAAUCAGAAAGCCACGGCUAACUACGUG
rnacentral:rRNA from 1 species